rnacentral:rRNA from 1 species
GAUGAACGCUGGCGGCGUGCCUAAUACAUGCAAGUCGAGCGAACAGACGAGGAGCUUGCUCCUCUGACGUUAGCGGCGGACGGGUGAGUAACACGUGGAUAACCUACCUAUAAGACUGGGAUAACUUCGGGAAACCGGAGCUAAUACCGGAUAAUAUAUUGAACCGCAUGGUUCAAUAGUGAAAGACGGUUUUGCUGUCACUUAUAGAUGGAUCCGCGCCGCAUUAGCUAGUUGGUAAGGUAACGGCUUACCAAGGCAACGAUGCGUAGCCGACCUGAGAGGGUGAUCGGCCACACUGGAACUGAGACACGGUCCAGACUCCUACGGGAGGCAGCAGUAGGGAAUCUUCCGCAAUGGGCGAAAGCCUGACGGAGCAACGCCGCGUGAGUGAUGAAGGUCUUCGGAUCGUAAAACUCUGUUAUUAGGGAAGAACAAAUGUGUAAGUAACGAUGCACGUCUUGACGGUACCUAAUCAGAAAGCCACGGCUAACUACGG